rnacentral:rRNA from 1 species
AAGCCGCCUGGUGGAUGGCUCGGCUCGGGGCGCCGACGAAGGGCGUGGCAAGCUGCGAUAAGCCCCGGCGAGGCGCAGGCAGCCGUCGAACCGGGGAUUCCCGAAUGGGACCUCCUGCGGCUCUUGCCGCACUCCCAGUCGGGAGGGGGAACGCGGGGAAUUGAAACAUCUUAGUACCCGCAGGAAAAGAAAGCAAAAGCGAUGCCGUGAGUAGGGGCGACCGAAAGCGGCACAGGGCAAACUGAACCCUUCGGGGAAACCCGGAGGGGAUGUGGUGUUGUAGGGCCCUGCGCUGGAGCCUCGAGGGUGAAGCCGAAGUCCGCUGGAACGCGGCGCCGAAGAGGGUGAAAGCCCCGUAGGCGUAAGCCCUCAGGCUCCUGCAGGGUUCCUGAGUACCGUCGGUCGGAUAUCCGGCGGGAAGCUGGGAGGCAUCGGCUCCCAACCCUAAAUACGUCCCGAGACCGAUAGCGAACUAGUACCGUGAGGGAAAGCUGAAAAGCACCCCUGGCAGGGGGUGAAAAGAGCCUGAAACCAGGCGGCGAUAGGUGGGUGCGGCCCGAAAGGGUUGACCCUCCCCGAAGGAAACACGGGCGACCGUGGAGUACGAGGGGAGGCGACCGGGGUUGCACCGUCCGUCUUGGAUCACGGGGCAGGGAGUUCACGGCCGUGGCGAGGUUAAGGGGGUUAAGCCCCGAAGCCACAGGGAAACCGACAGGUCCGCAGCCCGUAAGGGUGAGGGACGGGGUGUGAAAGCGCCCGGAGUCACGGCCGUGAGACCCGAAGCCGGUCGAUCUAGCCCGGGGCAGGGUGAAGUCCCUCAACAGAGGGAUGGAGGCCCGCUAGGGAUGCUGACGUGCAAUUCGCUCCCGUGACCCCGGGCUAGGGGUGAAAGGCCAAUCGAGGCCGGCGAUAGCUGGUUCCCGCCGAAUUAUCCCUCAGGAUAGCCCGGCCGGAGGUAGGCGGUGGGGUAGAGCACUGAUUGGGGGUUUAGGGGGAGAAAUCCCCGGCUCCCUGUCAAACUCCGAACCCACUGCCGCCGUAGAUGGCCGGAGUAGGGUGGCGGUGUAAGCCGUCAACCGAGAGGGGAACAACCCAGACCGGGGUUAAGGCCCCUAAAUGCCGGCUAAGUGUUACUCCAAAGGGUGUCCCUGGCCUUAGACAGCGGGGAGGUAGGCUUAGAAGCAGCCAUCCUUUAAAGAGUGCGUAACAGCUCACCCGUCGAGGUCAGGGGCCCCGAAAAUGGACGGGGCUUAAGCCGGCUGCCGAGACCCCGGCGCACGGACCGAUUGGUCCGUGAUCGGGUAGGCGGGCGUGCCGGUGGGGUGGAAGCCGGGCCGUAAGGUCCGGUGGACCCGUCGGUAUUGUGGAUCCUGCCGGGAGUAGCAGCAUAGCCGGGUGAGAAUCCCGGCCGCCGAAGGGGCCAGGGUUCCACGGCAAUGUUCGUCAGCCGUGGGUUAGUCGGUCCUAAGCCAGCCCGUAACUCGGCGCUGGCGAAAGGGAAACGGGUUUAUAUUCCCGUACCGCGGUGGUAGGUGCGGCAACGCAAGCCCAGAGGGUGACGCCUCGGGGUAGGCGGACCGGCCCACAAGGCCGGCUAAGCGUAUAAGUCCGGGGAGUGCCGUAAUGGCGAGAACCGGAUGAAAGCGCGAAUGGCCUCCCGUAAGGGGGGUUCCGCCGAUCCCUGGGGCCCGUGAAAAGCCCUCUGGGAACGAUCCACCGCGACCGUACCGAGAACCGACACCGGUGCCCCUGGGUGAGAAGCCUAAGGCGUGUCGGGGGAAACCCAGCCGAGGGAACUCGGCAAAUUGGCCCCGUAACUUCGGGAGAAGGGGUGCCUGCGGGUGCGUAACCCGCAGGUCGCAGUGACUAGGGGGGCCCGACUGUUUAGUAAAAACACAGGUCCCAGCUAGCCCGAAAGGGUUUGUACUGGGGCCGACGCCUGCCCAGUGCCGGUAUGUGAAGCCCGGGUCCAACCGGGUGAAGCACCGGUAAACGGCGGGGGUAACUAUAACCCUCUUAAGGUAGCGAAAUUCCUUGUCGGUUAAAUGCCGACCUGCAUGAAUGGCGUAACGAGGUCCCCACUGUCCCCGGCUGGGGCCCGGCGAAACCACUGCCAGGCGCAUAUGCCUGGGACCUCCGGUGGGAAGCGAAGACCCCAUGGAGCUUUACUGCAGCCUGCCGUUGCCGUACGGCGGGGGGUGCGCGAGCGUAGGCGGGAGGCGUCGAAGCCCGUCCUCCGGGGCGGGUGGAGCCGUCCAUGAGACACCGCCCACCCUCUGCCGUACGGCUAACCCCCGAUGGGGGGACAGCGGUAGGUGGGCAGUUUGGCUGGGGCGGCACACCCUCGAAAAGGUAUCGAGGGUGCCCUAAGGUCGGCUCAGGCGGGUCAGGAAUCCGCCGUAGAGUGCAAGGGCAAAAGCCGGCCU